AUUGAACGCUGGCGGCAUGCCUUACACAUGCAAGUCGAACGGCAGCACGGGUGCUUGCACCUGGUGGCGAGUGGCGAACGGGUGAGUAAUACAUCGGAACGUACCUUAUCGUGGGGGAUAACGCAGCGAAAGCUGUGCUAAUACCGCAUACGCCCUGAGGGGGAAAGCGGGGGAUCGCAAGACCUCGCGCGAUUAGAGCGGCCGAUGCCUGAUUAGCUUGUUGGUGGGGUAAAAGCCCACCAAGGCGACGAUCAGUAGCUGGUCUGAGAGGAGCAUCAGCCACACUGGGACUGAGACACGGCCCAGACUCCUACGGGAGGCAGCAGUGGGGAAUUUUGGACAAUGGGGGCAACCCUGAUCCAGCAAUGCCGCGUGAGUGAAGAAGGCCUUCGGGUUGUAAAGCUCUUUUGUCAGGGAAGAAACACCGGCUCUAACACAGUCCGGGAAUGACGGUACCUGAAGAAUAAGCACCGGCUAACUACGUGCCAGCAGCCGCCGUAA
rnacentral:rRNA from 1 species